AUACGUAGGGGGCGAGCGUUGUCCGGAAUGAUUGGGCGUAAAGGGCGCGUAGGCGGCGCGGUAAGUCUGGAGUGAAAGUCCUGCUUUCAAGGUGGGAAUUGCUUUGGAUACUGCCGCGCUUGAGUGCAGGAGAGGUUAUCGGAAUUCCCGGUGUAGCGGUGAAAUGCGUAGAGAUCGGGAGGAACACCAGUGGCGAAGGCGGGUAACUGGACUGCAACUGACGCUGAGGCGCGAAAGUGUGGGGAGCAAACAGGAUUAGACACCCUGGUAGUCCACACUGUAAACGAUGAAUGCUAGGUGUAAGAGGUAUCGACCCCUUUUGUGCCGGAGUCAACACAAUAAGCAUUCCGCCUGGGGAGUACGGCCGCAAGGUUGAAACUUAAAGGAAUUGACGGGG
rnacentral:rRNA from 1 species